GACGAACGCUGGCGGCGUGCUUAACACAUGCAAGUCGAACGGAAAGGCCCCUUUGGGGGUACUCGAGUGGCGAACGGGUGAGUAACACGUGAGUAACCUGCCCUUGACUUCGGGAUAACUUCAGGAAACUGGGGCUAAUACCGGAUAGGAAUCCUUGCUGCAUGGUGGGGGUUGGAAAGCUUCGGCGGUUUUGGAUGGACUCGCGGCUUAUCAGCUUGUUGGUGGGGUAGUGGCUUACCAAGGCUUUGACGGGUAGCCGGCCUGAGAGGGCGACCGGCCACAUUGGGACUGAGAUACGGCCCAGACUCCUACGGGAGGCAGCAGUGGGGAAUAUUGCACAAUGGGCGGAAGCCUGAUGCAGCAACGCCGCGUGCGGGAUGAUGGCCUUCGGGUUGUAAACCGCUUUCAGCAGGGGCGAAGCUUGUGGUGACGGUACCUGCAGAAGAAGCACCGGCUAACUACGUG
rnacentral:rRNA from 1 species